UUCAAUAAUGGGAGUCUUGUACUUCGGAUUAUAAUUAUCGCUUUUUUUCAUAGAAAAUAAUGUUAAAAUAUACAAUUCUUUAUUGAUUAUGUAUAAGCAAUAUAUAAAUAUUAUAACUAUGCGGUUUCAUGAAAAUUGAGGUAUGAAGCAAAAUGAAAUCAUCUUUGGAUCAAAUUGAAACAUUUAAGAAUUGAUAAAUGUGUAUAUGAGUUAAUAAAAACUUGAAACAAGCGAAAUUAUCGGAACGAAGCCAAAGAGGUUAUGUGAACAUGUGGAAAAGAGAAUGCAAAAAUUGGGACUCUAAAUUGGCAUCAUUUAUUAUGGCUUCCAUUAUUGCAUAUAUAUGUGUAAAUGAGGCUACCACUUCUUCAGUUGGAACAGAAAGGCCUCCUCUUUCAACUGCAUGGGACCCAUAGCCAGCUAUAUAUAGCAUGACUGAAUCAUCUAUAACACAAUUGGACAAGUA